rnacentral:tRNA from 1 species
GGUCCCGUAGCUCAACCGGAUAGAGCGGCGGAUUUCUAAUCCGCAGGUUGCAGGUUCGAGUCCUGCCGGGAUCGCCA